rnacentral:lncRNA from 1 species
UGGUUGUUAGCCAGGAUGGCCGCCAUGCCGUCGCCACCCUUGUAGCAGCCGCCGCUCUGGCAGCCGGAGCCGCAGUAGUUGCCGCCGAGGCCGCAGUAGCCGCCGGCACUGCAGCAGAAGUUGUUGGGGCACUUGUCCCCGCCGGCCUGCUUGCCGCACCGCUUCUCCGGGCAGCACGCGCCGCUCUGGCAUCCGUUGCCGCAGAACUCGCUGCCGAGGCCGCAGUAUCCCCACUGGCUGCAGCACAUGUUGUUGGGGCAGAGCUCGCCGUUGGCGUUGCGGCCGCACUUGAUGUCGGCGCGGCACGGCCCGUUCUGGCACCCGGAGCCGCAGUACUCGGAGCCGAAGCCGCAGUAGCCGUACUGGCUGCAGCACUGGUUGUUGGAGCAGGUGGCGCCGCCGCCCUGGCUGCCGCAGCGCUGGCUGGAGCAGCAGGCGCCGCUCUGGCACCCCGUGCCGCAGUAGUCGCGGCCGAGGCCGCAGUACCCGAACUGGCUGCAGCACAGGUUGUGCGGGCAGAUCAUGCCGUCGUUCUGCUUCCCGCACGUCUGCGCGUUCGUCGCCGCGACGGCGGCGGCGGCGAGGACCGCCGCCGCCAUCGCCAUGGCCUUCGUCGUCGUCGACGUCA